UACGUAGGGCGCAAGCGUUAUCCGGAAUUAUUGGGCGUAAAGAGCUCGUAGGCGGUUUGUCGCGUCUGCCGUGAAAGUCCGGGGCUUAACCCCGGAUCUGCGGUGGGUACGGGCAGACUAGAGUGAUGUAGGGGAGACUGGAAUUCCUGGUGUAGCGGUGAAAUGCGCAGAUAUCAGGAGGAACACCGAUGGCGAAGGCAGGUCUCUGGGCAUUAACUGACGCUGAGGAGCGAAAGCAUGGGGGAGCGAACAGG
rnacentral:rRNA from 1 species